AGGAUGGAAGAGGAGAGAGUAGCGGGAGAGAGAGAGUGAAGGUUGCGACGGCGCAAUACCAUCCGAGUAGGGGCAGAGUGAGAAGUGUUGGAUGAGAGCAAGAGGGAAAAGGAUACAAGGUAGUGGUCGGAGAUUUGGAGGGGAGUUGCAAUGAGAUUAGUGGAAGAACAGCAUCUAGUAAAGAUGAGGUCAAGCGUAUUGCCUGCCUUGUGAGUAGGGGGGGAAGUUGAAUUGAAUUGCCUCAAGGAGAAAGCUACUAAAAGACUGUAGCUUAAUUAGGCCAGGCCAAGAAAGGCAUAUUGAUCCUGUGGAGUCAGAGACUGCUAUGGAAUGCACACCAAGUCCAUAUGACUUAGACACAUCAAACGAAAUCAGAGAAAGUGACAAUCAUGAAGGCAACAAUGAUGAUGAUGGGGGAAAUCAGUGAAGGGGACAUUCAUGGAGCUGAUGAUGAUGAUGAUGAUGGGGAAAUCAGUAAAAGGGAUAUUUAUGGGGACUCAGACAAUGACACAGUGAUGGAAUCAACUCUCUCCUCUUGGCUUGUUGUGAAUAAUAUAAAGCAAGAUUCUGAAAAAACAUUGAGUUGAUGAUCUGCCAUGUAGUGCACGUACACUGUUAAAAACUGAUAAACAUGUGCAGGUCGAAAUUAAGUCUGGCAUUGACUAUGUGUUUUUGGGAGUAGAGAACAUGCUGAAGAAGAACAUAGACAAAUGUCCCAGUUGCUUCACAGAUGAGACUGAGUAUUUGAAUGUGUCUCUGAAUGUUGAUGGACUAUCCCUAUUCAAGAUCUCAAAAACCAUAACCUGGUCUGUGUUGUGUGGUGUCAACACCCCACCGAUAGUUUUCCCAGUUGCACUGUCGUGGAAAUUCUAAACCGAAUGACCUCAACUUUCUUAAUGAUACCAUACAAGAGAUGAAGAAGCUUCAAGAUGAGGGAAUGGUGUAUAGGGGCAGGCAAGUAAACAUCCUUCUGACAUAUGUAGUGUGUGAUGCACCAGCCAGAGCCAUGGUAAAAGGAAUCAAACAAUUCUCAAGAUACUACGGAUGUGAGAGAUGCAUCUGGCUUGGGUGAGUUACAUAUCAGGAUGUAGAAGACCUAGAGGCACGCACUGACAAGUCAUUUAGAGAGCACACUCAACAAGAACAUCACCAGCAGGUGUCUCCAUUCAUAGAGUUGAACAUUGACAUGAUGAAGGCCUUCCCAGUAGACUAUAUGCAUCAGGCUUGUCUGGAUGUCACAAAGAAGUUGAUUCUGACUUGGAUGCAUGGAAAGAGAGAAACAAGAAUGUCUAGGGGUCAUAAUGCAAAUAUCAGUGCCAGCAUGUUGGAGCUGAAACAGGCAGUGCCCAACAUCUUUGCUCGUCAGCCUAGUGAGUCUAGAUGAAAUCGAAAGAUGGAAAGCCACUGAAUUCCGCCAAUUCAUGCUGUACAUGGGCAAACUUGUACUUAAGACCAGACCUAUAUAAAAAAAUUGACCUUCUCAGUGGCUAUGUAUAUACUUGUCUGUCCAGACCUCAUUGAGCAGCACUAUGACUAUGCAAAACAACUGCUAGCCUAUUUUGUCAAGAAGGCCAGGGAGCUGUAAAGCCCAGAGUUUGUUGUUUACAAUGUGCAUAGCAUGCUCCACAUUGCAGAUGAUGCAAAACAACUUCGUGGACUGGAAAACUGUUCUGGCUUUCCGUUUGAAAACUACAAUCAGAAAUUGUAAAGAAGAGAAGAUGGUCCGCUCUGGACACCAUCCCUUGGCACAGAUUGUCAAACGUCUCUCUGAGACUGUUGCUGUGGUUAAAAGACCUGUGUUUGCCAAAGAACGACAAAGUGAGAAAUGCAGGAGGCCUGACAAUGUGUUCCAGACAGGGAACAAGUUCUGCGAGGUGUGCGAGGAAGUGUCAAAGGGCGGUGGGUUCCUCAGCAGGGUGUACCAUGACCUUGUGUCAUUAUCUUCUGAUUGGUGUGUACCAUGGUAGGACAGGGAAUACCUCAAUAAGAGUCCUUCCACUGGCAAGCCUAAACAAACCAGCUGUAAUGGUCAAGGAGAGUGAGGACUCUGCUAUAUUUCUGAGAAUUCUUCACAAGAUGUAACAAGUAAGUGUAUUACUGAAAUAACAGCAUAAUGAGAUCUUCAGAGUAGCCUAGUCAACAGAGUUCUCUGAUGUGUCACUCAACCGCUUAAUUAAUAAAGGCAUGUUUCAUUUUGCAGAUGCCAGUGUAUGCAGUGGUGGAGUUCCACAAUGAAACUCCAGUCACGGUGGCAGCAGUGGUAAAGCCAUGGAUCGUCACCACUAAGAAGAUGCUAACUUCUUUAGAAUCUUUGAAAUAGAACCAUAACAUUAAACUAAUUCAUCCUUGGUCUGUACUGUGCUGUUAAUGCCCGUGGAUGACAAUCAAGUACUUUUUCCUUUCAUGGAUUUCUGUGCUACUGGCCAUCAACAGGCUACAGCAAGAAGCUGAAGAGAGGUGACGCUCCUGACAAGGAGAGUUGGCCUAAAUAUAUUGUCCGUGUCAUCCCUCACACAACAACUGGUAAAAGUGUCCAUAAUCAACCAAAAGUCACUGUCACUGUUACAUUUCUGUUCUCCCAAAUGUAAUCCUACUUGUCCAAAUUUCUCAGAUGACUUCUCCAAAGCACGCCGCUUUGAAAAAAAAGCUGAAAAAAUCUCCUAUGUGGAAAGCACUAGUGAAAUGGAGGCAUGACCACACACUAUCCCAGCUCGUUACCAGACUGGUUGUUCUGAUGACAGCAGCAUUAAGUUGAUUAUACACUGAGAAUAUUAGCAUAUGUGCAGAUCCGAUGCUUAUGACAUGUUUUCUGUUUUGUAUCUAGCAACUGAUAUAGAUGAGUUCUUUAUGGAACCCUGCUUUCCCAAGAAAACUUUACGUUUACCUCUACCACCCAGAUAUCAGGACACAAAUUGUCUUAAAUGGAAAAAGUAUUUAGGAUUUCACAACCAACAGAAUUUUUGCCCAAUGCAAUGCCAAAUAAAUCAUGCUUCUUAUGAUUUGUAAUUACCGAAAAAUAUCCCGCAAAAAGGAAAGGCCUCCAAAGUGUCCAGUGCACCACAAACUGUGUCAUGCAGUGAGUAUUGAGAGGAACCAAUAUUUUGGACAGUGACAUACACUAUAUGGACACCCUACUAAUUAGUUCAGGUGUUUUAGCCACACCCAUUGCUAACAGGUGCAUAAAAUCCAGCUAAGCCUUUAGUUCCAGUGAAGGGUCAUCUUAAUGCUACAGGAUACAAAGACAUUUUAGACAAUUGGGUGCUUUCAACUUUGUGGAAACAGUUUGGGGAAGGCCCUUUCCUGUUCCAGCAUGACUGUGCCCCACAGACACACUCGAAAAUCUUGUGGAAAGCCUACCCAGAAGAGUAGUGGCUGUUAUAGCUGCAAAGGGGGGCCAACUCCAUAUUAAUGCCCAUGGUUUUGGAAUGGGAUGUCCAACAAGCUCUUAUAGGUGUGAUGGUCAGGUGUCCAGAUACAUUUGGCCAUAUAGUGUAUAUAGAAUAUAUUCAAAUUAAGCUGACAAUCAAAUCUGAGGUGGAGAAGAACAGAUCUAAAAUGUGUGUCACUGUCCAUUUAUCUUUGGUGUUGACUGUAAUGGCAUAUUGAAUUCACAUACCUGAGUUUUAUCUAAUCUUCUACAACUUCCUACAGACCUACCAGCCAAAACAACAAAUGGUGGAGUAGCGCUACCUGCAGCAUCCAGUCUCCAACAAAAGGAAUCUGCAUCCCCAAGUGCUGUGCAGUCUCAGGAGAUAAUUGCAAUGAUAUCUUCCUUCUAGACAAAGGUACUGAUGAAGCUAGGCAAUAUAAUUGAGAACCAGCAAGAGCAACUGAGGCUCCUUAAUGGUACAAGGCGAUCAACCACAGCUGAGGACCUCGACAUUCUUCCAUCACCGUCAGACUCUGCGGCUGACCUGAAGCUACUGUGUAAGCAGAGCUCAACAGAGGAGAAUUUUCGCAAACAAUUGACAUCCUAUCUCAGGAUGUAUGGGUCCAACAAAGUGGGGAAGACUGUGAGGAGGACGAUAAGGUGCAUUGGGACCAACAGACUGUGAUCCCAGUUCAGUAUAAAAGGGAGAAAAAAGUUGCCAGUCAAAGACCGGCCUCUUUUAAGAGUCAUGACAAAGGCCUGCAGCAAAUGUCACAAAGAGGCCAAAAUCACUGAGUGUGAGACCGAAAUAGGUGAAUGCCUGAAGCAUGCAACAAUUAAGGAGGGAUGCAACAAAUACAGAUCAAAGGAAGGACAGACCAAAGCACCUGAAAUAAUGGAGAGAGACAGAAGCUUAAGCACGAGCCCAAGAGACAGAAGCUCAAGAGACAGAAGCCCAAGAAACAGAAGUCCAAGAGACAGAAUUUUUUUAUAUAUAGUUGAAAUUUCCUGUCUUUAUUAGUUGAAGCAAUUGUAGCAUAUUACACCUAUUACCAACGUUAACCAACGUUUGUUAAACAUUGGCGAACGUUGAUGGAUGUUUGAAAUCCAACCAAACCAACGUUGGUGGAUGUUCAUUAACGUUUAAAAAGGAACUAAUAGCCAAUGUUCGCCAAACGUUAAUGACACCUAUGACAAAUGUUUACAAAACGUAAUCUGUCUGCUACACUUUAAUCAAAACCUAACAUUUAUCUGAAUGCAUUCAACAUUUUUAGACAACUAAUCCAACACCUAAAAUUUUUUUUUAUAAAAUGGAUUUUUGCUACCUGGGGUAGCCUUUUAGUAGCCUACUGCUAUGCAUGUUGACUCCCUACGCUGUCAUUCCCCUGUAAUUCUCUCUACUGAGGUAAAGACAGUUUCAAGUUGGAUAUUUGACGGAUAUUCACGCUUUCAAACCUCAAUAGCUUUCAAACCAGUAGAAAGAGGAGGAAGGGAAGCGCUACUAAGGUACACAAUAGUAAAUGUUGGUAGACAGAAGGUGCUCUUCAAACCACUUGAGCAACAGACUCCAAAUAAGAGUCAUGAUGUUGGAAAAAUUGCGCACAACAUUGCACUGGUCUUAUUUUCACGAUUUGGACAUUAAUUCACUUUACAAAGCUAAUAAACAUGUGGAAAUGUGA